rnacentral:rRNA from 1 species
GCAUCUGUGCAUGCAGCAUAUCAAUAAGCGGAGGAAAAGAAACUAACAAGGAUUCCCUUAGUAACGGCGAGUGAAGCGGGAAGAGCUCAAAUUUGAAAUCUUCAAGGUUUUACCUUGACGAAUUGUAGUUUAAAGAAGUGUUUUCUGUUGAAGUUUUGGUAAAAGUUCUUUGGAAUAGGACAUCAUAGAGGGUGAGAAUCCCGUAUUUGACCAUUAUUUUCAGCUGUGUGAUACACUUUCAAAGAGUCGGAUUGUUUGGGAAUGCAGUCCAAAAUGGGUGGUAAAUUUCAUCUAAAGCUAAAUAUUGGCGAGAGACCGAUAGCGAACAAGUACCGUGAGGGAAAGAUGAAAAGAACUUUGAAAAGAGAGUUAAACAGUACGUGAAAUUGUCAAAAGGGAAGCGUUUGACACCAGUGUUGUUUUCUCGAAAAUCAAUUAAAAAGAGUUAGAUUUUGUUGUGUAUUGACCUUAACAGCUUGCAGUUUCAAUUUUCUUGCUUUUUUUAAUGCACUUUUCGUUUAACAAGUACAACAUCAGUUUCUUUUGUUGUAAAAAGGUCAUUGGAAGGUGGCUUUCUUUUCGGAGAAAGUGUUUAUAGCCUUUGACUCCUGCAAUCGGAGAGACUGAGGUCUGCAGCGUAGAUCCUUCGGGGUUAGAUACACUUGUGCUAAGUUAUAGCUUUUUAUAGACAACUUGUUGACUAUGAUUAGUCUUGUAGCUUACUCGCUUAUGCUAUUUUACCUACGCUUAGGAUGUUGAUCUGUAGUGCGUGCGC